rnacentral:lncRNA from 10 species
AAUUGUCAGAUUCUAGUUUUUUAUUUAAAAAAAAUCCAUCCUGUUAGGAAUAUAUUCACCACAUAAAACCAAAAUAAGUCUGAUAUGGCUUGGCUGCUUCCCCACCCAAAUCUUAUCUUGAAUUGUAGCUCCCGUAAUUCCCACGUGUUGUGGGAGGGACCUGGGGGGAGGUAAUUGAAUCAUGGGGGUGGUUUUCCCCAUACUGUUUUCAUGGAAGUGAAUAAGUCUCACAAGAUCUGAUGGUUUUAUAAGAGGAAACCCCUUUUGCUUGGCUCCAAUUCUUCUCCAUGCUUCCCCAUGUAAGAUGUGCCUUUCACCUUCUGCCAUGAUUAUGAGGCCUCCCGAGCCACGUGGAACUGGUCUUCAUUACUCCAGCCAAAAAAAUAGUAAUGAAAAUGGAAACACUUCAAGGUUUCUUUGAAGACUAGAAAUAAGUUGGUGAAGGAUAUGGCAUAUAACAGAGCUGGAACACCCUUCUUCUCCUGCCUUUGGACAUCAGAACUUCAGAUUCUCUGGCCUUCAGACUUCAAGACUUGCACUAGUGGCCCCCUGGGUUCUCAAGGUUUUGGCCGCCUCGGUUGAGAGUUACACCAUCGGCUUCUUUGGUUCUGAGGCCGUUGGAGUUGGACUGAGCCAUGCUACCAGCUUCCCUGGGUCUCCAGCCUGCAGAUUGCCUACUGUGAGAUUUAGCCUCCAUAAUCACGUGAGCCAAUUCUCUUAACAAAUCACUUCUCAUAUCUUUCUCCUUCUACAUAUCUUAUUGGCUUUGUCUCUGUGGAGAACCCUGAUUAAUACAGCUUCUAAACUGAUAAAUGCUCACUUAUACCCAUUGAGUUGAGAUUGCUUCCUGUCUAGCCUCAAGGCUCUGUCCUCUGAAAGCCACGCUUGGGAUCUUCAGGUAACAGAAUAUUGGCAUGUAGCACUCCUCAAAACAUAGAAAGCAGAAACAAAUCAAUUCUGCCUGGAGGACCUCCCCGAUCUCAACACCCAGUGGUUUUGACAGAAUUGAUAUAGAAAUAGAAGCUUCAAGCAACCUUACGAUGGAGGCAGAAGAAGGAUUCUAUGGUUGGAAACCUGCCAGACUCACAGGCUACGGAGAAGAAAGGCUAAAUCCACCAGACUGUUGGAUGCACCUAAAACAAAUUGCCCUCCGUGGCUUGGUUUCUUAUUAAUAUACUCAUAGAAAUGCACAAGAACUGAAAGCUCGAUAGGGAAACCAAAAAAUAAAAAUUAAAAAAAAAAAGCUGUAAACCAAUGUUUCUUAAAACAUGCUCUGCAGAACACUCGUUUGGUGGAACGUAAAGUGUUCUUUCAUAUUAAAGGAGUUGCGUGUUAAUCGUGUUUCUCUGUCAUAGGACUCUCAUUGCAUUAAUAUGUCAGUUUCCAUUGUGAAUUUCUCAGGAGAGAGAGGCGAGUCUGUGAUAUUCCUCAAAUGCAUGAGGUCAUGGAAUCUAAGAGCAGAAGAGCAUUAGGAUAGCAGAACAGCUUUGAUAGCACAACAGCUCCUUGCAUGUGGUGGAAAUCACAAGUUCAGGGGGACAUUUUACUGGCUGUAUUGUCAGUAGGAUGAAUACUACACGCUGCAUCUUCUGAACUAUAAUACGGUAUCCCUGAGAAACAAAAUUAGAGGAAAUAUUGAUCACAUCUCACCAUUUCCAGCUAAAACUAAGAUGCAGAGUCUGCAAUGCCCCAAAAUAAAUGUGCUCAUUCCCUGAACACAUGGGGCCUUUGUCUUAUUUUGUCCUUUGUCUUAUUAUUU